UGGGGUAUCAAUUAAAUACAGGGAGCCCUAAAUCGGUCGUCUUCCCCAAAAUUUCCAAAGCCCAAAGGGCUUCUUCGAUUUCAAUGACGACGACGACGAGCAGUGAGAAGAAGAAGAAGACUCGGGAGUUGCCGAACCUGACGGAGUGCCAUUGCUGCCACCUCAGAGUCGACCUCGCCAAAUCCUCCCAGAACAACAAGCUUCAGAUUCUCUACAGCGAGUGGCGAAUCGUCCUCCUCUGCAACAAGUGCUUGGCCCGCGUCGAAUCCACCGAGCUCUGCUCCUACUGCUUCAACGACUCGUCGUCCGGCCACUGCUUCUCUUGCCGCCAGUGCAGGCGGCGAGUCCACAGGGACUGCGAUUCCGAGUACCGCAGCGCCGCCGUCUGGUCCGGGUCGUCGUCUGCGGCCGCCGACGAGGUCUCUGUCUGCGCCGAUUGCUGGGUGUCGGAGUCGCUGGCCAGGUGGAGGAGAAGUAGAAACGUCGGUAGUGGUAGAAAGAGUAGGGCGGAUUUGGGAUUGGGGAGAUCUAGGGUUUUGAAGUAUGAGAGGAAAUGUGAUCCAAAUUCGACUGAUUCAUCUACAGAGGAGGAGGCCGGGUGCUUGAGACUUGAUGGUGUUGAAGAAGAAGAAGAAGAAGAGAUUGGGGAUGAUGAGCCGUUGAAGGAAGGACAAGGGAGUUGCUCAAAUGGUGUCGAAUCGGAGUCUCCACCGUCUUAUAAACAAGAUGACUGCAACUGCAUCGCUUUGCCGAAAGUCGAAAUUGGGAAUGCAAAGCUUGAUCCUUAUUAUUUCAAGUACAGGAGGAGGAGCAGUGUUGAUCUGUCUCUGUUGACAUACAAGAGGAGGAGCAUUGUUGACUGCUUUAAGAUUGAUUGCCCUCUGUUGACAUAUAAGAGGAGAGGCAGUGUUGACUAUCGGUUUAUGUUUACGUAUAAGAGGAGGAGGAACUUUGAUCAAUCUAUGUUGACAUAUAAGAGGAGGAGACCUGAAAUCGUUUACGCGAGUUCAAAGAUGCAGCUCGAGGGUCAGUGCUGAAUCCUCAUAGUUCAGAGAUGCAUGCCUGCUAAAGCCAAACAACAAGUCUACCACUAGAAAGCUACAACCUUUUCUAAAUGGUAGGGGAAGUAACUUCAAUUCAUGAUAAGAUUCUAGACUAUGUUAAAGAUCCUUUUCACUUGGCAUGUUUCCAAAGGUGGGCAGAGUAAAGGAAUAUGUGUUCCUUAACCUAAUUAUGAUUCAGUGACAAGCAGUGAAACCCAAGCAAGGAAACAGGGGACUCGCCAAAUCUCUCAAAAUCUGACCUCGCCAAAGCCAAGAACAAGCUACAAAUCCUGUACAGCGAGUGGCUUAUCGUCUUUUUAUGCAAGAAAUGCGUCGUUCAUGUUGAUUUCAUGGAGCUGUGCUCCUACUGCUUCAUCAUUUCGUCAUCCCAUGAAUAUUUAUCUUGCUACCAGUGUGAGCAAAGAGUCCACACAGAUACUGAUUCUGAGUAGCAAAGUGUUGCGCUCUGGUCCAAUUACUUGUUUGCUAUGGAAGUUCUGACCGAUUACUGGGUUCCUUAAUCCCUGACUGGGUGGAGAGGAGUUGUGAGACGUAGGAGCAAUAGGAACAAGUUUGAUUAGGGACUGAGGAAGUUUAGGGUUUUGGCAGUGGAAAUUGCGAGGAAAUGUGAUGCCUUUGAUUUGGAAAGAAGCGGAGACUGAAGAUGCGGAUACUGAUGCCGAUGUUGAUCCUCAAUUGAGUUGUUGUGUUUCUGAAUCAUCUACAGACGUUGGUUGUUUGAAGCUGAAACGGUGGGGGCUUGAUCUUGCAGAAUAAACAUUGGGCGUGAUGGACUGUUGAAGGAUGGAAGUUAUACAAAUGGUGUUGACUUGGAGUCUCCACCUUCUUAUAAACAAGAACACUGCAUCUGUAUCACCAGGCCGAAGGAACGAAUAAUGCAAUGCAAAGUUCGACCUAUUUUUCCAAUUACAGGAGAAGGAGCACUAUUGAUCACUCUGUUAAUAUCCAAGAGGAGGAGCAGUUUUCAUCACUGUAAGAAUUUGAGCACCAUUGAUUGUCCUAUGUUGACAUAUAGCACCAUCGGUUGCUCUUUGUUAACAUAUAAGAGGAGGAUAGCUGAAAUCCUCUACAAUUUUUCGAGAUUUAGUUUGAUUAAAGGUAGCAGCAUCACUAACUUUGAUGAAAGUUGGCUUCAAUUAAGUUUACACUCAUGUCAUGGUUACUCAGGCAUUGGUUGGACAGUGUAAAAGAACAGGAGCAUCAGGAAUCAC